rfam:Sorghum bicolor cultivar BTx623 chromosome 6, whole genome shotgun sequence.
AUUCCAUGAUGGGGACAUUCUAGGAUGUAGUCUUGAAAGCGCUCCCAUGCUUAUGGAACAAAUUCAUCAUUUUGUUGCUGAAACUUGUAAUCUUCCCACAGAGAGC